UACGUAGGUGGCAAGCGUUGUCCGGAAUUAUUGGGCGUAAAGAGCUCGUAGGCGGCCUGUUGCGUCGGCUGUGAAAACCCGGGGCUCAACUCCGGGCCUGCAGUCGAUACGGGCAGGCUAGAGUCCGGCAGGGGAGACUGGAAUUCCUGGUGUAGCGGUGAAAUGCGCAGAUAUCAGGAGGAACACCGGUGGCGAAGGCGGGUCUCUGGGCCGGAACUGACGCUAAGGAGCGAAAGCGUGGGGAGCGAACAGG
rnacentral:rRNA from 1 species